rnacentral:rRNA from 1 species
UGGGGAAUUUUGGACAAUGGGGGCAACCCUGAUCCAGCCAUGCCGCGUGCGGGAAGAGGGCCUUCGGGUUGUAAACCGCUUUUGGUCGGGAAGAAAAGGCGUCGCCUAAUACGCGGCGUUCUUGACGGUACCGGCAGAAUAAGCACCGGCUAACUACGUGCCAGCAGCCGCGGUAAUACGUAGGGUGCGAGCGUUAAUCGGAAUUACUGGGCGUAAAGCGUGCGCAGGCGGUAAGUUAAGUCUGAUGUGAAAGCCCCGGGCUCAACCUGGGAACGGCAUUGGAAACUGGCUUGCUAGAGUGUGGCAGAGGGGGGUGGAAUUCCGCGUGUAGCAGUGAAAUGCGUAGAGAUGCGGAGGAACACCGAUGGCGAAGGCAGCCCCCUGGGCCAACACUGACGCUCAGGCACGAAAGCGUGGGGAGCAAACAGGAUUAGAUACCCUGGUAGUCCACGCCCUAAACGAUGUCAACUGGGUGUUGGGGAAGCGAUUCCUUGGUACCGUAGCUAACGCGUGAAGUUGACCGCCUGGGGAGUACGGCCGCAAGGUUA